AAAGAUGGGGCAGCAGCAACGAGGAGCACACAGCCUCUCCUGGAAUGCAGACUGACUUUGGGAUAAAUGCUAAUGCUUAGUCAGAGCAAUAUUUACUGAUAUUCCCCUGGCCAAAUACUGAAGCUAAGUAUCUACACAUCCAGAGCCUGAAGCUGGGCUAAUACUGAAUAUCUCAAUAUUCUUAAAGUCCAGAAAUUGGAAAUUCAGAACUAAUACUGAAGACCACCUUGUUGGAAUUGUGUGCAGGGAAGUCAAUUGCAGGAAUGGAUACUUCAUAGCAGUUUAAAUGAAAUUACCUUCUGCAGUGAACAAAUGGACACAGAAGACAAUCUAAGCCAAGAAAAGCACACUGUCAUCCUGAGCGAGAGCUGACCUGAAAGGAUGGAACAUCAGGCACAAUUGUAAUUUUUCAGUUUUAAGAGACAGAUUAAGUGCUGACAGCAGCUGGCAAAAUGAUAGAGAUAUUCACAAGAAUUUUAGUUUCUUCUGGAGCCAGGUCCUGCUAUGAAGGUCAAGGGACAGACCUUGCUGUUGCUCGGAAAGAACUUACUGGAGGCCUGUGCCACUGGAAAAGAUUUGUGUUUUGGUUUGGCCUUUGUAUAGCACCUGCUCAGCCACCAACCUUCUCGAGUACCUAAUGCAAAAAUGAAAAGCAAGGCUGAGUAUGUCUGUUCUUAUCAGAAAGAAUUUCUCCUUCCCUUACUCUCGGCGUUCCUUCAGGUGUACUGAGUUUAUUUCCUUGUCCAGCAAGAUACUGAACUCAUGAUGCAAUAAGACUCGAUGUGCUCACAUUGUGAAAGCCUUGGAUCCACAGAAGCACUCCCUAGAUGAAUGGAUGACAUUUCCCAGCAACAAGAUUUCCAUCUCAGUGGUAGAUCCUUAUCCUUUCCCACACAAACUGCAAUGAGGGUAGAGUGUAAGGAUGAACGAACCAAGUCAGGUAUUGCGCUACCUUUUAGAGGCAGAAUCAGUCCAUAUUUGUCCAGUACAUCAAGUCCAAUAGAUCAUGGUAUAUCUAUUGUCCCAACUACAACUCAUAGGCCUGACACAGUUGUGAUGGGAAUGAAGAGGAUUUUGGAAGUCUCUAUGCAAUAAAAAAUAAAGGUUUCUUAAUC
ensembl:lncRNA